UCUCUUUUACUGGUUUCUCUACUACGGCCUGCCCACGCGCCGAGGAUGCGUGCUUGCGCGCGCAAAAGCUCGUUGAUAAGGAACACGUUGCACAGGAUGUUGAGAAUCUUAAAAGUCGAUGGGAAUUGAUGCCUUGCAGACAAAUUACGACGACCUUCUCGUUACCUUCUUUCCAUUGUGACGGAUUUAAAAGAAAAAAGAAACGCAAUGUUUAUUAUCCUAUAUCGUAUUAUUCGUUCGUGUGUUCUUUAUGUUACUGCGCAACAAGUGUUGCGCGCAUGGGGUCACGUGACAGUUGUUCCCGAAUAACCGUUCGUAAACACGAGGAGUAGGCAAAGAAUUUCUCGUAGAAUCGAUUCUGUGAAGUGAUCUACAAAAAGUGAAGAAACAGAAGAUAAGCAGAGUUUUUGUCGUCCUUUGCAAGUUUCAAGCAUAUUAUUUAUCUCUCGUCGAACGUGUAUAGAAUCCUGGUUGUUGUUCAGUUAUCGUGGAGAAGGAUGAUCGAUCGAGCGGUGGAAAGUUGAUAAAAAAAAAGGGAAGAAGAGGAAGAAAAGGAGCGCGGAUACCGUUUCUCGAGUCCGAAUGGCGGCGGCGCAACUUGUCCCCUUCCUUCAGCUUGCUUCCUAGUUGUGCGCGCCGCUUCCGAGCACUCGUUCCAACGAAUUGAUAUCUGGCCAGACUUUCCAUCGUUCGGUUUCCAGCAAGGUUGCGGGGCAACUUUGUAUUUAUUCGCUCGUUAACACCUAGCAACACCGGUAAUCGUAAAAGGCAAAUACCUACAGCAAGUAUUCGGACACGGAGCUAGUGAAUAUUUUGAAAAGAGAAGGGGAAAGGAAAAGAUAUGGUGAUGGAUAUUAGGAAAAUGUGUAUUUUAAUCGUUUGGACGAUUAUUCGUUUGAAUUUCUAAUGGAAUAAUUUGGAAGAAAAAAAGAAGAAAUAAAGCGUGUAUCACGAUUGGAAUAACAUAAAAUUAUUUUGGUUCGGUAAAAUUGUGGAUAAAUUAUGAUAAUUGAGAUUUCUUAACAGGUCGUUAAGAAGGUUAUGUAAAAGAUUUCACUUUUUCGAAAGAGUAAAUUUUUUCACAGAUUA